CCAAGUCUAUAAAAAUGUCUGAUAGCUCAGAUUUGUGAAAGAACAGAUUCACCCGAUAUUAGUGCCAUGCAGAAGUAAAGUAUGGAAAAUCCGUUCAGUGGAGAAACAGCCUUAUAGCAGGAUUGAGUAGAUUUACCAUUUUUGGAAUUUGAACAAAAUAAACAGAUAACGAGAAGAGGUUGACUCAACACGAAAGGCUCUUUUAAAGAAGAGGUUUGUUUUGAGGAGGAGCUUGAAAGAACAUGGUGGUGGCUUUUUCCUGCCUAUGAUAUUGGCCUGUUGCAUGACCUAAGUCCAGAAACUCCAUGAACAAAGCUUUAUGCCUGGCAUUUUGGGACUUCUGCAGCCACUCUAGGACAGACCCUGGAAGGUGCAGACACAUUCAAAAAAAAGUUUCCAAUACAUUAAGGUCCCCACUGCAGACCCCUUGCUGGUGUCCAUGCAAGAAAGUGGCAUAGAGCUCCUGGACCAGGGUGCCACUCAGCCCCUUUCCAACAGCAAAGAUGGCCCAGAAUCUGGACUCAUCACUUAAAAAUCAAAACAUUCCUAGCCUCUGCAUUAUUGGAUCCUUCUGACAAAGCACAGCCAGAGGGGUGCUCAGAGCAUGUGUAACACUGAUGGCUGGAAACAUUUAUGUCCACAUAGAGAAAGGCCUACUGCCUAGGAGACUGUGGGUGUGUAAUAUCAUGCCCUUGGUCCAUGGCUGAAGCUGCAGAGAUGAUGCAGAUCACCAGUGGGCACCCUGCAAAAUUCAGAGAUGGCAACAGUGUCAAAACUGCACCCGAUGCUUCCCUUCAGAAAACCAGGACCUUGGAUAGAAAAGGAAACUGGGAAAAGGCGUAAAAGAGGGCCCUAUCCCAUGGGAGGAUGAGGGCAUCUCCCAGUGAAUGUUUCCCCAGGCCAGUUCUGGAGCAGUAACGAGGACAUUUCUUGUUCCGACACAACAGUGAAGACUGGCCAGUGAGGAACAUUCAUUGGCCAUCGGCAGUGGAACCAAGUGGUGGUGGGAGUCACGGCUCAUGCAGCCAAUUAAAGAACAUUUGGAGAAUGAUAAGAAGAGAGUUAACCAAUAAGAGUGUUUGUUUUCUCCAAGGACUUCCAUUAUCUAACAGAGUCACUGAUUAGCGGGCAUGUUCCAUAAACACCAGCUGUUCUCCCUGGGAUUUUCUCCAAAGCAACUGACAAAGCUAUAAAUGGAUUUGAUAUAUCUAACCUUUCACACAGAGGCAAAGUGGGGAGAAGUUUUAACUAAUUAAUCUAGAGUUUGCUCCCCCAAUACAAUGGAGACCAUGUUACCCAAGAAUGUGUAUCCAGAGACACUUUGAAGAAAAUUCAUUAGAAGAAGAUUUUUUUAAAAGGAAAAGAAUGUGAGGAGCAGAAUAAAAAGGUCAUGCUGAAAAAAUGUAAAGUAGGAGCAGCUGAAACAUGUAAAUUAAUGGCAUUGCUACUGCCAAGGCCUGCAGUGUGGAACAGGUAUUAAAUAUUCCAAUUAUGACUGCAGUAGGUUUGUAUUAUUGUUAUAAUUGGUUUUGAGUUAGCUUCCAAAUGAAUCCGUGGAGAAAAGAUAAUGCCUAUUUUAAAAUAUUUUUGAAAUUAUCCAUAAUGAUAUAGGUAUUCUGUUCUUUGUUAUCUUUUCUCAUGCCUCCUUUUGUCCCAGUAUAUCACUUUCUUUUCUUCUUCUAAUUGUGGAGCUUUGCCAAGCAUCAUUCACAUGUCUCCAAAACAAUGAGAGCAAGAUAUCUUUUGUCUUGUGUAAAGAGUUUUGAAUAAGAUAGGCGUAGUGGGCUGUUUUUAUUCACUUUGCCAUGCAUGCAGCUCAUAUUUUGGAUCCUGCAUUUGAAAAGUUGUGAAUUGACCUGUUCAGUAUUCCUGAAUCCUACGAUCACAUUUUUAGUCUUAAAUCUGGGUUCUUAUGUAGCACCUUUCACAUAAGGAUGUCAAAGCGUAUUACAAUCAUCAGCUAAUGAAAUCUCCUGAACUGUUAUAUCCAUUUCACAGGUGGGGAAAUAGGGGGGUAAAGGGUGAUGUUCCCAAUGUCACAAAAUGAGUAACCAGAAUAGAACACGUGGGUAUUGCAAGAGCCCCACUUAAUCUGUUAUUGGCUUUAUGACUAAGGAUCAGAUCCAGCUCACAGAGAAGUCAAAGGAAUUGAUUUCAUUUGCUUCUAGGGGAUUUGGAUUAGGAUCUAUAUACUUCAAAGUAUGGUCAGAAAACUGAUGCAUCUUCCUACCUAACAGACCUGCUAUUUGCAAAACAGACUGAUCACUGUUACAGCUGCUUCCUUCUUUUGUCUAUUUCAGAGACACUUUUAAUAUGAGAGACGGCACAUCAGAUAAAUAACAUGGUACAAUGUGAUUUUAAUGCGGUCCCAAAGUUCAGCUUUAUCUACACUAUAUAAAUUUGGUGGCCAGGAUUCAUAAAUGAGCUCUUAUUGCAGGUUUAAAAAAAGAUGAGGAGGAGAUUGUUAUUAAACACUUACCCCAU